rnacentral:SRP_RNA from 1 species
CCGUGCAGCCGGGGCGUUAGCGGUGCCCUGUACCUACAAUCCGCUCUAGUAGGGGUGAUGUCUGAUUGAGGGCUUUGUCUUGUGUAGCUGCCCUUUAUAAGUGGCGUUGAAGUUCGGGUCUUACGCAAUGGGAAUCCAUGAACCGUGUCAGGGUGGGAACACAGCAGCACUAAGUGGAAGCUUCCAUGUGCCGUAAGGGCGCCUGGCGGAGUUAACUGUAAAGGUAACGUGCAUGAGGCCGGUUCGAGAGAAGGCGCACGG